rnacentral:rRNA from 1 species
GAUGAACGCUGGCGGCGUGCCUAAUACAUGCAAGUCGAGCGAACAGACGAGGAGCUUGCUCCUCUGACGUUAGCGGCGGACGGGUGAGUAACACGUGGAUAACCUACCUAUAAGACUGGGAUAACUUCGGGAAACCGGAGCUAAUACCGGAUAAUAUAUUGAACCGCAUGGUUCAAUAGUGAAAGACGGUUUUGCUGUCACUUAUAGAUGGAUCCGCGCCGCAUUAGCUAGUUGGUAAGGUAACGGCUUACAAAGGCAACGAUGCGUAGCCGACCGGAGAGGGUGAUCGGCCACACUGAACAUGAGAACGGUCCCAAACUCCUAGGGGAGGCAGCAUGAGGGAAUCUUCCGAAAUGGGCGAAACCCUGACGGACCAACCCCCGGUGAGUGAUGAAGGUCUUCGGUUCGUAAAACUCUUUUUUUAGGGAAAAACAAAUUUUUAAGUAACUAUGCCCCUUUUAGCGGUACCUAAUCAGAAACCCCCGGCUAACUACGU